rnacentral:rRNA from 1 species
GACGGAGGAGGCAAGCGUUGUCCGGAAUCAUUGGGCGUAAAGAGCGCGUAGGCGGUUUUUCAAGUCGUAUGUGAAAACUUCAGGCUUAACCUGAUGAUUGCAUAUGAAACUGGAUAACUUGAGUACAGCAGAGGAAAGUGGAAUUCCUGGUGUAGCGGUGAAAUGUGCAGAUAUCAGGAAGAACACCAGUAGCGAAGGCGGCUUUCUGGGCUGUUACUGACGCUGAGGCGCGAAAGCUAGGGGAGCGAACAGGAUUAGAUACCCGAGUA